CAGGCUUAACACAUGCAAGUCGAGGGGCAGCAUGGUCUUAGCUUGCUAAGGCCGAUGGCGACCGGCGCACGGGUGAGUAACACGUAUCCAACCUGCCGUCUACUCUUGGACAGCCUUCUGAAAGGAAGAUUAAUACAAGAUGGCAUCAUGAGUCCGCAUGUUCACAUGAUUAAAGGUAUUCCGGUAGACGAUGGGGAUGCGUUCCAUUAGAUAGUAGGCGGGGUAACGGCCCACCUAGUCUUCGAUGGAUAGGGGUUCUGAGAGGAAGGUCCCCCACAUUGGAACUGAGACACGGUCCAAACUCCUACGGGAGGCAGCAGUGAGGAAUAUUGGUCAAUGGGCGAGAGCCUGAACCAGCCAAGUAGCGUGAAGGAUGACUGCCCUAUGGGUUGUAAACUUCUUUUAUAAAGGAAUAAAGUCGGGUAUGGAUACCCGUUUGCAUGUACUUUAUGAAUAAGGAUCGGCUAACUCCGUGCCAGCAGCCGCGGUAAUACGGAGGAUCCGAGCGUUAUCCGGAUUUAUUGGGUUUAAAGGGAGCGUAGAUGGAUGUUUAAGUCAGUUGUGAAAGUUUGCGGCUCAACCGUAAAAUUGCAGUUGAUACUGGAUAUCUUGAGUGCAGUUGAGGCAGGCGGAAUUCGUGGUGUAGCGGUGAAAUGCUUAGAUAUCACGAAGAACUCCGAUUGCGAAGGCAGCCUGCUAAGCUGCAACUGACAUUGAGGCUCGAAAGUGUGGGUAUCAAACAGGAUUAGAUACCCUGGUAGUCCACACGGUAAACGAUGAAUACUCGCUGUUUGCGAUAUACUGCAGGCGGCCAAGCGAAAGCGUUAAGUAUUCCACCUGGGGAGUACGCCGGCAACGGUGAAACUCAAAGGAAUUGACGGGGGCCCGCACAAGCGGAGGAACAUGUGGUUUAAUUCGAUGAUACGCGAGGAACCUUACCCGGGCUUAAAUUGCAGAUGAAUUACGGUGAAAGCCGUAAGCCGCAAGGCAUCUGUGAAGGUGCUGCAUGGUUGUCGUCAGCUCGUGCCGUGAGGUGUCGGCUUAAGUGCCAUAACGAGCGCAACCCUUGUUGUCAGUUACUAACAGGUUCCGCUGAGGACUCUGACAAGACUGCCAUCGUAAGAUGUGAGGAAGGUGGGGAUGACGUCAAAUCAGCACGGCCCUUACGUCCGGGGCUACACACGUGUUACAAUGGGGGGUACAGAGGGCCGCUACCACGCGAGUGGAUGCCAAUCCCCAAAACCUCUCUCAGUUCGGACUGGAGUCUGCAACCCGACUCCACGAAGCUGGAUUCGCUAGUAAUCGCGCAUCAGCCACGGCGCGGUGAAUACGUUCCCGGGCCUUGUACACACCGCCCGUCAAGCCAUGGGAGCCGGGGGUACCUGAAGUGCGUAACCGCGAGGAGCGCCCUAGGGUAAAACUGGUGACUGGGGC
rnacentral:rRNA from 1 species